CAGUGGCUGAGGCUGUUCGAAGGGUGCAGCCAAAUGUUGCGAGAACAACUGUGUCCUCAAUUGUUCACACUUGUUGACAUAACAGAACUGCAAGACAACUUCACAGGGGUGGCAGAGUGCCCCUUUUCACACUUGAACAGGAGGACGCUAUUUGCACAAUGGUUGUUGAAAACAAUGCCAUAAGGGAGAUAAAGAGUGCCAUUAUAGAGGACUCUACAGUAAACAACAUUGUGUAGUGAUAUACAGUACACGUAUAAUGGAACUGGAAGCAAGUGAACCACCUCACAGCUUCAUCUCCAUGGAUGAGGCUGGCUUCAACCUAACAAAACGCAGAAGGUGUGGUCGAAAUAUCAUCGGCCACAGAGCUACAGCUGAUGUGCCAUGCCAGGCCAUCGGGGCGGGAACAUAACCAUGGGUACUGCUAUCUCUGAGAAUGGUGUGCUAACGCAUAUUCCCAUUAUUGGGCCAUACAAUACAGAGCAUUUUGUCACCUUUUUAGACACUCUCUAUGGGGACCUCAUCCCUGAACAAGAGGGAUCAGAUUGGAGAUGACUUUCCAAAGUACAUCAUAGUUUGGGACAAUGUCAGUUUCCAUCGCUCCAACAUCAUCAGGCAAUGGUGUGCGAUCCACAGUAGGAUGCUGAUGAGUUCCUACCACCCUACUCCCCAUUCCUUAACCCCAUUGAGGAAUUUUUCUCAGCAUGGAGAUGGAAAGUAUAUAAUUGCCAGCCACAUACACAGAUGACCCUUCUGGCUGCCAUGGAUGCAGCUUGUGAUGACAUCACAGCAGAUGCCUGCAGAGGCUGGAUAAGGCACAAGAGAAGAUAUUCGUUGUGAUGUGGAUGAGAAUUUGUGGCCCAACAGACUGGAACGUCAGGAGGUGUAGGAAGACUGCACUGUAAUUCCUAUUGCACUGCAUGUACAGUUUUCCCUAAGGAGAUUGUCCCAUGUUCACAUUUGUACUUUUGUUUUUUCAUUUUUUUUUCUUCGUGCUCUGCAGUGCUGCCUUUUCCUUUCUGUAUCGCAUAUGACAACAAAUUACAGUAUAAACAAUAAAAGAGUAAAUAUGAA